GCAUGAGCCACCAUACCCAGCUGCUUUCUUUCAUUUUUACUUGAAAAACUCCGUUAAGCAUUUCUUUUAAAGUAGACCUAGUGGUGGCUCAUGCCUAUAAUCCCAGCACUCUGGGAGGCCAAGGUUUCAGGAUCGCUUGAGCCCAGGAGUUCAAGACCAGCCUGGGUAACAUAAUGAGACACCAUCUCUACAAAAAAUGCAAAAAUUAGCUGAGCAUGGUGGCACGCACCUGUAGUCCCAGCUACUUGGGAUGCUGAGGUGGGAGGAUCACUUGAGCCCGGGAAGUCACAGCUGCAGUGAGCCAUGAUCGCACCACUGCACUCCAGCCUGAACAACAGUGUGAGACCCUGUUUUUUAUUUUUUAUUUUUUUAUUUAUUUUUUAAAGACAUAGGUAGCUAGAGUAAUACAGAGAUGAAAGGGAGAGUAUUCAC
rnacentral:lncRNA from 10 species